rnacentral:rRNA from 1 species
AGAGUUUGAUCCUGGCUCAGGAUUAACGCUAGCGGUAUGCAUAAUACAUGCAAGUCGAACGGCCAGCAAUGGCAGUGGCAAACGGGUGAGUAAUACAUAUUUAAUCUACCCAUAAGAGAAGAAUAGCUAGAUGAAAAUUUAAUUAAUACUUCAUAGGAAAUAGAUUCGCAUGAAUUUAUUUUUAAAGUUGCGUUCGCAACACUUUUGGAUGAGAGUAUGGCUUAUCAGAUAGUUGGUGAGGUAAUGGCCCACCAAGUCUAUGACGAGUAACUAUGCUGAGAGGUAGAAUAGUCACAAUGGAACUGAGAUACGGUCCAUACUCCUACGGGAGGCAGCAGUAGGGAAUUUUUCACAAUGGGCGAAAGCCUGAUGGAGCAAUACCGCGUGGAUGAUGAAGGUCUUCGGAUUGUAAAAUCCUUUUAUUUGGGAAGAACGGUUUUGAUAGGAAAUGAUCAGAAAAUGACUGUACCAUUUGAAUAAGUAACGGCAAACUUCGUGCCAGCAGCCGCGGUAAUACGAAGGUUACAAGCGUUAUCCGGAUUAACUGGGUGUAAAGGGAUGCGUAGGCGGAAAAGUAAGUCUGGUGUUAAAUGCUGUUUCUCAAUAACAGUAUGCAUUGGAAACUAUUUUUCUAGAGUUAGAUAGGGAGUUAUAGAACUCCAUGUGGAGCGGUGGAAUGCGUAGAUAUAUGGAAGAAUACUAGAGGCGAAGGCGAUAACUUAGGUCUAAACUGACGCUUAGGCUCGAAAGUGUGGGGAGCAAAUAGGAUUAGAUACCCUAGUAGUCCACACCGUAAACGAUGAUCACUAGAUAUUUGGACUAAAGUCUGAGUGUCGUAGCUAACGCGUUAAGUGAUCCACCUGAGUAGUACAUUCGCAAGAAUGAAACUCAAACUGGAAUUGACGGGGACCUGCACAAAUGGUGGAGCAUGUUGUUUAAUUCGACAUCACACGCUGAACCUUACCAGGGCUUGACAUCUUCUGCAAAGUUAUAGAAAUAUAAUGGAGGUUAACAGAAUGACAGGUGAUGCAUGGUUGUCGUCAGCUCGUGUCGUGAGAUGUUGGGUUAAGUCCCGCAACGAGCGCAACCCCUCUUGUUAGUUAUUUUUCUAACAAUAUUGCUUUUGUAAAAAAGAUGAAAGUAGGGAUGACGUCAGAUUUCAUGUCCUUUAUGUCCUGGGCUACAAACGUGCUACAAUGGCUAUUACAAACUGUUGCGAAAUCGAAAGAUCAAGCCAAUCAGAGAAAGAUAGUCUCAGUUCGGAUUGAGGGCUGCAAUUCGCCCUCAUGAAGUUGGAAUCAUUAGUAAUCGCGGAUCAGACAUGCCGCGGUGAAUACGUUCUCAGGUCUUGUACACACCGCCCGUCGCACUAUGAGAGCCGUUAAUAUUUAAAACCAUUCAGCUAACGCAAGAAGCGAAUGUCUAGGAUAGGAACGGUGAUUGGAGUUAAGUCGUAACAAGGUAACCGUA